rnacentral:rRNA from 1 species
GACGAACGCUGGCGGCGUGCUUAACACAUGCAAGUCGAACGGAAAGGCCCUUCUUUUGUGGGGUGCUCGAGUAGCGAACGUGUAAGUAACACGUGAGUAGCCUCCCCUGGACAUUCUGAUAACUUCAGGAAACUAAGGCUAAUACCGGAUAGGAGCUCCUGCUGCAUAGUGGGGGCUGGAAAGGUUCGGCGGUUGGGGAUGGAAUCGCGGCUUAUCAGAUUGUGGGUGGGGUAGUGGCUUACCAAGGCUAUGACGGGUAGCCGGCCCGAGAGGGUGACCGGCGACAUUGGGAAUGAGAGAGGGGGCAGAAUCCUACGGGAGGGAGAAGUGGGGAAUAUUGCAGGAUGGGCGGAAGCGUGUGGCAGCAACGCGGCGGGCGGGAGGAGGGGCUUUGGGUUGUAAACAGCUUUGGCCUGUGACGAAGAGGGAGUGACGGUAACGGAUAAAGAAGCACCGGCUAACUACGUG